GUGAAACUAUGACACGUGUCAGCACUGACACGUGUAGUCAUUUUCGAUGACAUACUCCUGCCUGCAUGCGAGCUCAGCAAGCCCAUAGCUGUGGACAUGCCCUGAACCAGCCUAGCCUGGAGGGAGGGGAUGCUCCACUUGCUGGCUGCUAGGGCAGGAGGCACCCCACACAAGUUAAAUAAUAUCAACACCAACAAAAGGAACGGACUGACAGAUGAACAAACAAGUCUCUAAGCAGAUAGGUUUUAUACACUUCUUGUGGAGCCAUAGCCAAUCACCACUCACUAUUCUUGAGGAAAAAAGCGUCUUGCUAGAAUGGAGACUUAGAGGACAAGGGGAAGAGCUUACUCUGCCAUGGACAGAUCUUAGCAUAGUUACUGAAAGGAUAAUCAUUUGCUUGUUUUAUACUGUCAGGUAACACUGUAAACCUGUCUCUAUUAGUUUCAUUAAAGGAAUGAAUCAAAAAUAUACCCUGCCUGAAGGGUCCAUUUCCAG
rnacentral:lncRNA from 1 species